CUGCUUCAGCAGCACAUUUACUAAAAUUGGAAUGAUACAGAGAAGCUUAGCAUGGCCCUGUAAAAGGAUAACACCCAAAUUUGUGAAGCAUUCCAUAUUUUU